rnacentral:rRNA from 1 species
CUUAAGUGGCGGACGGGUGAGUAACGCGUGGGGAACCUGCCUUGCACCGGGGGAUAACACUUAGAAAUAGGUGCUAAUACCGCAUAAGCGCACAGAGCCGCAUGGCUCGGUGUGAAAAACUCCGGUGGUGCAAGAUGGACCCGCGUCUGAUUAGCUGGUUGGCGGGGUAACGGCCCACCAAGGCGACGAUCAGUAGCCGGCCUGAGAGGGUGAACGGCCACAUUGGGACUGAGACACGGCCCAAACUCCUACGGAAGGCAGCAG